CUGCUAGGAGGAAGUAGUGUGGGGAAAAUUUUGCAGAGCCCAGGAGUAGUGACCAAGAGGCAGAGAACUGUGGUGUAGUCCAAAAGGCCAGAAAAAUUAUUUGGAAAUGUGUUUGGACUUUCAGCAAGACCUUUAGUUAGCCUGGAAGAGGACUGAAAUUUUAAGGCUUGGACAGAGAUGACAGAUGCAGGCCAUCAUGGUGCCCAGGAAGUGGUUACCAGAAGGGGGGAGAGGGUAGAAGUGAAGAUCAGUGCAAUGCCACAAGCUGAGGCCAGAGGUGUUACUGCAGUAAAAGCAACUGCCCACACCUGGGAAGUGGGCCAAGUUGCCUUAAUGAUUCAACAGCACUGACAGCCAGAGAGCCUCUAACGUAUACAGGGAGUUGACUAGGAGAGGGGACCCUGAAGCAUAGAGCAAGAAGUACCAAAGUGAUCUCCUCAUGGAUAGCAAGAAUUCAACUUUGGACUGAUCACUGGAAGGAAAAAGCUUGAAAAGCAUUGAACAAGGCACUGAGGCAAGACUCCAUGCCUCUGGACUGAAGAAGGCAAGGACUGCAGGGGAGUUUUGUGGGCGGAGCUAUUGACAGCAUUGUCAGUAUUCCUGUAGUUCUGCUUCUGGCACUGGGGCAAAGAGGCAAACAGAACGUGAAUCAAAAUGGAAUUGGGCAGAAAGCAAUGCAGAGACUGAAAACUAACAGUCAGUUUAAAAUUGAAACCCUGGGAUGUUGAGAGCCCUUUGCAGUUAAUCAAGAGCCCAAAGAAUAUUCUUCAGUCUAUGAUCCCUAACUCCAUUUGUAACGUAUUGUCCUAAGCCUCAAUCUAAAAAAUCAUUCUGAGA